rnacentral:lncRNA from 1 species
AACAAACACCCUGCUCUGUGCCCCAUAACUCCCUGCUCUGUGCCCCAUAACACCCUGCUCUGUGCCCCAUAACAAACACCCUGCUCUGUGCCCCACAACACCCUGCUCUGUGCCCCACAACACCCUUUCUGUGCCCCAUAACAAACACCCUGCUUUGUGCCCCAUAACCAGCCCCCUGCUCUGUGCCCCAUAACAAACACCCUGCUCUGUGCCUCCAGGACCUUUGUCCCUUGUCCCCCAGCCUGGCACCUUGGCAGCCUGGCACCUUGCUCUGAGGACUGAGCUCCCUGCCCUGGCAGCAGCCAUGCCCAGCCUGGCCGGAGGGAGCAGGGGAAGGUGUUGAGGAGUGACAGACCCAC